rnacentral:rRNA from 1 species
UGGGGAAUAUUGCACAAUGGGGGAAACCCUGAUGCAGCCAUGCCGCGUGUGUGAAGAAGGCCUUCGGGUUGUAAAGCACUUUCAGCGAGAAGGAAAGGUUGAUGCCUAAUACGUAUCAACUGUGACGUUACUCGCAGAAGAAGCACCGGCUAACUCCGUGCCAGCAGCCGCGGUAAUACGGAGGGUGCAAGCGUUAAUCGGAAUUACUGGGCGUAAAGCGCACGCAGGCGGUUGGAUAAGUUAGAUGUGAAAGCCCCGGGCUCAACCUGGGAAUUGCAUUUAAAACUGUCCAGCUAGAGUCUUGUAGAGGGGGGUAGAAUUCCAGGUGUAGCGGUGAAAUGCGUAGAGAUCUGGAGGAAUACCGGUGGCGAAGGCGGCCCCCUGGACAAAGACUGACGCUCAGGUGCGAAAGCGUGGGGAGCAAACA